GACGAAGGAUGCAAGCGUUAUCCGGAUUCAUUGGGUUUAAAGGGUGCGUAGGCGGACUUGUAAGUCAGUGGUGAAAUCUCUUUGCUUAACAAAGAAACUGCCAUUGAUACUGCAGGUCUAGAGUAUAGAUGACGUUGGCGGAAUAUGACAUGUAGUGGUGAAAUACUUAGAUAUGUCAUAGAACACCGAUUGCGAAGGCAGCUAACGAAACUAUAACUGACGCUGAGGCACGAAAGUGAGGGGAUCAAACAGG
rnacentral:rRNA from 1 species